GUCUGCGUUGCGCUGUACUCGGCUGUAGCGCUGCGUCGUGCUCAUCACGGCAGGUGGAGAGGUGAGCUAGCAGGCCAACUAACUCCCUGCAAGAGAAAAGCUAACAGCUGCUAGCUUGUUUGGUCUUGUACCUGUAGUGUGUGUUCAGGUACAGGAAGCUGCCGUUUUUCACCGUGUAGGGUGCUAGCCUGGAGGUUGUUGUGAGCGCUUCACACACAGACGUGGGGACGUUCAUACCCACAUCCGGGCUCUGCUUCGCUCUGGGCUGUAGGAGGCACCGUGUUUGUUCUCACAGAUGAGUCCCACAGAGAGAGUUAUUGGGCACCGGCCUCGUGGCGAAAAGGAAGAUUAGGGCCUGUCUGAGAUGGGAAGCUGGCUCCAGGCCCCCCAAUAAGCUGCAGGCCAGGGGCCACUCCAGUGAGAGGGAGAUGGAUGGAGAGGAAAGGAGCUUGCUGUGGCUAUGUGUGCCAAGCCACACUGGCAGUAAAGAACCACGCUCUGCUGGAGAUGUACUGUCUGCCCCGUUUGACCUCUGUUGACUUCAUCACCGGGGAGUUAUGAAAGCCCUGUGAGUAGCGGCCCUGUUCUCUGCCUGCACUUGUGCGAGCUGAAACGCCUUCAGACAGGUGCUGCAGAGUGUGCCUCACUGCACCGAAAAACAGCUGGGGCCGGUCAUCAGCGCUCACUGGAGAUGACAUCACCUGACAAGUGUUCAUCUGACUCAUCUCCCGCUCUCUGGCUCCAUCUCGGGCCCCUGACACAUGCUUCACCUCGGAGGCACUCGCACAGGAAACCGGGGGGCCGGACAGGACGGGUAGCUGCGGGCUUUAAGUUCAGUCAUGCUCGUGCGUCGUGCCAAGAAAAGGGGUGAGAGUGCUCAGUUUCCAUUUGGGAUUCAGCUGCAUGAAGAUGAAUGGACGGAUGAUCUGAUUCUUGUGGACCUAGGUGACUCCUGCCCCGGCUUCGGUUACACAGUCUCCGCCCUCGCCCCCUCACUCCCAUUCUGGUUAUCCUGUCUGUGACACCGUAAUGAUGACAAAGACUAACAAGUAAACAGCAGCAUCCAGCACCACAGAGGACCCUUUUAUGGCGCAAUGAAAGUGAGGGAUGAAGCGCGGUUGUCAUCCAGGAGAGCUCCAGCAAAUCACAGCGCAACGGCGAAACAGUCGGGGCGGCAGAGUGGAGAUGACCGUGGCGGGCGCUGGCAUUGAGUUGAGCUGUUUGUCAACAAUCAGUCGAUCUGUCAGUGUAAUGCAGCGCAACAAAUCAGCUCAGCCACCAGUCUCUGUCCGCAGCAAAGUGCUGGGGGAAAAAAAAAAAGAAAAAGAAAAAAAGAACUGUGUCACCGCUGCUGGAAGCUGAGUGCACACUCACAUACCUUAGUAUGACUUGGUGUUACUAAUGAGGAGCUGAUCCUGCUUUAAAGUGGUGUCAGAUUUACAGUUUUAACAAGUUUUCCACUUUGAAGUGCCACAUUAAAACCUCAUUAAG